rnacentral:rRNA from 1 species
AGACGCUGGCGGCGUGCCUAACACAUGCAAGUCGAGCGGGGUUGAAGCGAGGGGUAACGUCGAGUUUCUACCUAGCGGCGGACGGGUGAGUAACGCGUGGGCAACCUGCCUCAAGGACUGGGAUAACAGCUCGAAAGGGCUGCUAAUACCGGAUAUGCCUGUGGCCUCGCAUGGGGCUAUGAGCAAAGGGAAACCCGCCUUGAGAUGGGCCCGCGUCCCAUCAGCUAGUUGGUGAGGUGAAGGCUCACCAAGGCGACGACGGGUAGCCGGCCUGAGAGGGUGACCGGCCACACUGGGACUGAGACACGGCCCAGACUCCUACGGGGGGCAGCAGUGGGGAAUCUUGCACAAUGGGCGAAAGCCUGAUGCAGCGACGCCGCGUGAGCGAAGAAGGCCUUCGGGUUGUAAAGCUCUGUCUGGAGGGACGAAGGAAGUGACGGUACCUCCGGAGGAAGCCACGGCUAACUACGUG